rnacentral:rRNA from 1 species
AUCAACUUUCGAUGGUAGGAUAGAGGCCUACCAUGGUGGUAACGGGUAACGGGGUGUUAGGGCACGACACCGGAGAGGGAGCCUGAGAAACGGCUACCACAUCCAAGGAUGGCAGCAGGCGCGCAAAUUACCCAAUCCCGACACGGGGAGGUAGUGACAAUAAAUAACAAUACGGGGUUCUUUUGGAUCUCGUAAUUGGAAUGAGUACAAUUUAAAUCUCUUAACGAGGAACAAUUGGAGGGCAAGUCUGGUGCCAGCAGCCGCGGUAAUUCCAGCUCCAAUAGCGUAUAUUAAAGUUGUUGCAGUUAAAAAGCUCGUAGUUGAAUUUCAAGACCGGCUUAUUGGUCGUGCUUUUGUACGUACUGGUAUAAUCGGUUUCUCCUUUCUGACGAACUAUAAUGCCAUUAAUUUGGUGUUAUAGGGAAUCAGGACUGUUACUUUGAAAAAAUUAGAGUGUUUAAAGCAGGCUCACGCUUGAAUACAUUAGCAUGGAAUAACGGAAUAGGACGUUUGAUUCUAUUUUGUUGGUUUCUAGGAUCGACGUAAUGAUUAAUAGGGAUAGUUGGGGGCAUUAGUAUUCAAUUGUCAGAGGUGAAAUUCUUGGAUUUAUUGAAGACUAACUACUGCGAAAGCAUUUGCCAAGGAUGUUUUCAUUAAUCAAGGACGAAAGUUAGGGGAUCGAAGACGAUCAGAUACCGUCGUAGUCUUAACCAUAAACUAUGCCGACUAGGGAUCGGAUGAUGUUAAUUUUUUAAUGACUCAUUCGGCGCCUUACGGGAAACCAAAGUGUUUGGGUUC